rnacentral:piRNA from 1 species
UGCCUCAGAUUAUGGCUUUUGUUACAUCUU